rnacentral:rRNA from 1 species
CUCCCUGAUGUUAGCGGCGGACGGGUGAGUAACACGUGGGUAACCUGCCUGUAAGACUGGGAUAACUCCGGGAAACCGGGGCUAAUACCGGAUGGUUGUUUGAACCGCAUGGUUCAAACAUAAAAGGUGGCUUCGGCUACCACUUACAGAUGGACCCGCGGCGCAUUAGCUAGUUGGUGAGGUAACGGCUCACCAAGGCGACGAUGCGUAGCCGACCUGAGAGGGUGAUCGGCCGCACUGGGACUGAGACACGGCCCAGACUCCUACGGGAGGCAGCAGUAGGGAAUCUUCCGCAAUGGACGAAAGUCUGACGGAGCAACGCCGCGUGAGUGAUGAAGGUUUUCGGAUCGUAAAGCUCUGUUGUUAGGGAAGAACAAGUACCGUUCGAAUAGGGCGGUACCUUGACGGUACCUAACCAGAAAGCCACGGCUAACUACGUGCCAGCAGCCGCGGUAAUACGUAGGUGGCAAGCGUUGUCCGGAAUUAUUGGGCGUAAAGGGCUCGCAGGCGGUUUCUUAAGUCUGAUGUGAAAGCCCCCGGCUCAACCGGGGAGGGUCAUUGGAAACUGGGGAACUUGAGUGCAGAAGAGGAGAGUGGAAUUCCACGUGUAGCGGUGAAAUGCGUAGAGAUGUGGAGGAACACCAGUGGCGAAGGCGACUCUCUGGUCUGUAACUGACGCUGAGGAGCGAAAGCGUGGGGAGCGAACAGGAUUAGAUACCCUGGUAGUCCACGCCGUAAACGAUGAGUGCUAAGUGUUAGGGGGUUUCCGCCCCUUAGUGCUGCAGCUAACGCAUUAAGCAC